rnacentral:rRNA from 1 species
ACGAACGCUGGCGGCAUGCCUAACACAUGCAAGUCGAACGAGAUCUUUGGGUUCGCCUGGGGAUUUAGUGGCGCACGGGUGAGUAGCGCGUGGGAAUCUGCCCUGAUGUGGGGGAUAACCGAGGGAAACUUCGGCUAAUACCGCAUACGCCGGGGGUAACUCCGGGAAAGAUUUAUCGCAGCAGGAGGGGCCCGCGUCGGAUUAGCUAGUUGGUGGGGUAACGGCCUACCAAGGCAGUGAUCCGUAGCUGGUCUGAGAGGAUGAUCAGCCACACUGGGACUGAGACACGGCCCAGACUCCUACGGGAGGCAGCAGUGGGGAAUAUUGGACAAUGGGCGCAAGCCUGAUCCAGCAAUGCCGCGUGAGUGAGGAAGGCCUUAGGGUUGUAAAGCUCUUUCACCCACGACGAUGAUGACGGUAGUGGGAGAAGAAGCCCCGGCUAACUUCGU